rnacentral:misc_RNA from 1 species
GAUGAAGAACGUAGCGAAAUGCGAUACGUAAUGUGAAUUGCAGAAUUCAGUGAAUCAUCGAGUCUUUGAACGCACAUUGCGCCCCCUGGUAUUCCGGGGGGCAUGCCUGUCCGAGCGUCAUUACAACCCUCAAGCUCAGCUUGGUAUUGGGCCCCGCCGACCCGGCGGGCCCUAAAGUCAGUGGCGGUGCCGUCCGGCUCCGAGCGUAGUAAUUCUUCUCGCUCUGGAGGUCCGGUCGUGUGCUCGCCAGCAACCCCCAAUUUUUUUCAGGUUGACCUCGGAUCAGGUAGGGAUACCCGCUGAACUUAAGCAUAUCAAUAAGCGGAGGA